rnacentral:sRNA from 1 species
GGCUCUGUCCUCCCGGACGUGCCGCAAGACCGAUGCUGGGGCCCUUCUCCCGAAGGCGGCCCCCUCCCCUGGUACCCAAGCAUC